AUGGAGCUUGUGCUGAGCUGGGUUUUUCUUGUUGCUGCUUUAAACGGUGUCCAGGCUGAGGUGCAGCUGGUGGAGUCCGGGGGAGGCUUGGUGCAGCCUGAGACAUCUCUGAGACUCUCCUGUGUAUCCUCUGGAUUCACCUUCAGUGACUACUGCAUGGACUGGUUCCGCCAGGCUCCAGGGACGGGGCUGGAGUGGGUUGGUUUUAUUAGAAACAAGGCUAAUAGUCACACAACAGAAAACGCUGCAUCAGUGAAAGGCAGAUUCACCAUCUCCAGGGAUGACUCCAAAAUCACAGUGUAUCUGCAAAUGACCAAAUUGAAAACCGAGGACACAGCUGUAUAUUACUGUACCAGAGACGCAGUGUGA